rnacentral:rRNA from 1 species
AUGUGGUUUAUUCGAAGCAACGCGAAGAACCUUACCAGGUCUUGACAUCCUGUGCUACACCUAGAGAUAGGUGGUUCCCUUCGGGGACGCAGAGACAGGUGGUGCAUGGCUGUCGUCAGCUCGUGUCGUGAGAUGUUGGGUUAAGUCCCGCAACGAGCGCAACCCUUGUCUUUAGUUGCCAUCAUUAAGUUGGGCACUCUAAAGAGACUGCCGGUGACAAACCGGAGGAAGGUGGGGAUGACGUCAAGUCAUCAUGCCCCUUAUGACCUGGGCUACACACGUGCUACAAUGGGCAGUACAACGAGAAGCGAACCCGCGAGGGUAAGCUGAUCUCUUAAAGCUGUUCUCAGUUCGGACUGCAGGCUGCAACUCGCCUGCACGAAGCUGGAAUCGCUAGUAAUCGCGGAUCAGCACGCCGCGGUGAAUACGUUCCCGGGCCUUGUACACACCGCCCGUA